AUUUAUAUUUUUUUAAUUUUAUUAUUAUAUACACAUGUAAGCUUUUAAUUUUGUUAAAUACAUAAUUAUUAAAUUUGUACGCAUUUUAAUAUAAAUAUUUGUAGAUCUUUUAAUUCAACAAUAAUAUUCUUGAUUUUUUUUAAAUGUUAUUAAAAAAUUAAAAUGAUAUGAUAAAUUACAAUUCAUUGAUAACUUUUUAGUUGAAAUAUGGAUAAAUGAGUAUAAGGAUGAAUACUUAGAUAUUCAUAGAAUCUGGUUACAAGUAUAAAUUUU
rnacentral:lncRNA from 1 species